rnacentral:rRNA from 1 species
UACGGGGGGGGGCAAGCGUUGUUCGGAAUUACUGGGCGUAAAGGGCGCGUAGGCGGUUCGCUAAGUUGAAUGUGAAAACUCUGGGCUUAACCCAGAGCCUGCAUCCAAAACUGGCGAACUGGAGUACUGGAGGGGAAAGCGGAAUUCCUGGUGUAGCGGUGAAAUGCGUAGAUAUCAGGAGGAACACCGGUGGCGAAGGCGGGUCUCUGGGCCGAUACUGACGCUGAGGAGCGAAAGCGUGGGGAGCGAACAGG